GUCCCUAUCGUCUAGAGGCCUAGGACAUCUCCCUGUCACGGCGGUAACCGGGGUUCGAAUCCCCGUAGGGACGCCA
rnacentral:tRNA from 1 species